CGCUCGCUAUCCCGCGCCAGUGUUUUUUCUUUUCUCCCCGUGUAGCUUCUUCUGUCUCUUUCCUCGCCGCUCGACCCCCUUGUCAUUUCGAACAUGUAAUCCGGAACAGAGGCGAGUGAGAGAGAUCGCCAUGGCGAUUUGGAGCUGCCCCUCGCCGCUCCAGGCCCCAUUAUUUCGCCGCUCGUCGAUUUUGUUCGUCUGAUUUGCAACAGCAUGUGGAGCCUACGCCUGAUAUGCCAAACUACAUGGAAUGGCAGAGCACUGUUCAGGUCAUGUCUGGUGUGUUAGGAAGUAGUUUCAGUGCAAUUAUUUUUUAGUGCAGUGAAUUUUAUGGAUUACAGUGGAAUUAAUAGCUAAUGGAAUUUCGAAGUUUGAUUUAAACUGUAAUUCCUACUAAUUUUGAGUGUAAUUAUCAGUUGAUUUUCCUCUGUAAUGCUUAUUUUUGGAAUUUGAAUUUUCUUUUAGUGGAAUUACAGUGUAAUUGUUAGUGGAAUUGAAGGUGCAUAAGUUACACUGUAAUUCUGAACUUUUUUCACUGUAAUCCGUGAUGAUUUACAGUGUAAUUAUUGAUUUUGCUCUGUAUUACCCAGUGGAA